rnacentral:rRNA from 1 species
AGUGAACGCUGGCGGUAGGCCUAACACAUGCAAGUCGAACGGCAGCACAGUAAGAGCUUGCUCUUACGGGUGGCGAGUGGCGGACGGGUGAGGAAUACAUCGGAAUCUACUUUUUCGUGGGGGAUAACGUAGGGAAACUUACGCUAAUACCGCAUACGACCUACGGGUGAAAGCAGGGGAUCUUCGGACCUUGCGCGAUUGAAUGAGCCGAUGUCGGAUUAGCUAGUUGGCGGGGUAAAGGCCCACCAAGGCGACGAUCCGUAGCUGGUCUGAGAGGAUGGUCAGCCACACUGGAACUGAGACACGGUCCAGACUCCUACGGGAGGCAGCUGUGGGGAAUAUUGGACAAUGGGCGCAAGCCUGAUCCAGCCAUACCGCGUGGGUGAAGAAGGCCUUCGGGUUGUAAAGCCCUUUUGUUGGGAAAGAAAAGCAGCAGGUUAAUACCCCGCUGUUCUGACGGUACCCAAAGAAUAAGCACCGGCUAACUUCGUG